AUGCUCGGGGCAGGGGAAGGCAUGAGUGACAAGCCUUGGAAGACACCCCUGCCAACGGCCGGCAUUUCACUCACACUGCUGGUGGUCCAGGUCAGCAUCCUCUACUACGGGGGCCACCUUGUCAUCUCAGGCCAGAUGACCAGCGGCAACCUCAUCGCCUUCAUCAUCUACGAGUUUGUCCUGGGAGAUUGUAUGGAGUCUGUGGGCUCCGUCUACAGUGGCCUGAUGCAGGGAGUGGGGGCUGCUGAGAAGGUAUUCGAGUUCAUCGACCGGCAGCCGACCAUGGUGCACGAUGGCAGCUUGGCCCCCGACCACCUGGAGGGCCGGGUGGACUUUGAGAACGUGACCUUCACCUACCGCACUCGGCCCCACACCCAGGUCCUGCAGAAUGUCUCCUUCAGCCUGUCCCCCGGCAAGGUGACGGCCCUGGUGGGGCCCUCGGGCAGUGGGAAGAGCUCCUGUGUCAACAUCCUGGAGAACUUCUACCCCCUGGAGGGGGGCCGGGUGCUGCUGGACGGCAAGCCCAUCAGCGCCUACGACCACAAG
rnacentral:sRNA from 1 species